rnacentral:snRNA from 1 species
GUGCUUGCUUCAGCAGCACAUAUACUAAAAUGGGAACAAUAGAGAUUAACACGGCCCCUGAGCAAGGAUGACACACACAUUCAUGAAGCGUUCCAUAAAAUA